AAAAAGACAAACCCUGGGUUUCCAUGUCCAACGUUUGACUGUCCGUUUUAUAUGAAAUUUUUUUAUAAUCAGUAUUUUUAUUGCUGUUAUAUGAUAAAACAUGAUUAAUACUUUAUGUGUGACUUAUCUUUUUAAUUUUUUUCAUAAUUUUUUCAAAUAAGAUGGACGGUCAAACGUUGGACACGGAAACCCAGGGUUUGUCUUUUU
rnacentral:pre_miRNA from 1 species